CCUACGGGCGGCUGCAGUGGGGAAUAUUGCACAAUGGGGGGAACCUUGAUGCAGCCACGCCGCGUGAAUGAAGAAGUACUCCGGUAUGUAAAGCCCUGUCAGCAGGGGAGAAAAUGACGGUACCUGACCAAGAAGCCCCGGGUAACUACGUGCCAGCAGCCGCGGUAAUCCGGAGGGCUGAAGCGUUAUCCGGAUUUACUCGGGGUAAAGGGGGCGUAGACGGGAAGGUAAGGUUGGAGUGAAAGUCCGUGGCCCAACCACGGGACUGCCUUGGAAACUGUGUUGCUGGAGUGCAGGAGGGGUAAGCGGAAUUCCUGGUGUAGCGGUGAAAUGCGUAGAUAUUAGGAGGAACACCGGUGGCGAAGGCGGCUUACUGGACUGUAACUGACGUUGAGGCUCGAAGGCGUGGGGAGCAAACAGGAUUAGAUACCCGUGUAGUC
rnacentral:rRNA from 1 species